GUUGGUUCUUCCGCCAACUUAAACUGAAACAACUUCGCCCUAAAAUCACCGUGUCCGGUAAGAAAUUGUGUUACGAAGUGAUCCAGUUCAAGCGGCAUAAUUUUCCUUGUUCUGACGUCAGGGAACCAUUUGUAGGUCCACCUGCCUUUGUCCGUAUUGUCCCAUCUCGACUGCCAUAUAUCGUAUAUAGCGUUCAUCUGGGAC